CCCAAACUGGUGUAAUGGUAACACAUUUGGGAGUCACCAGGGAAGCUCACAGAGCAGAACUGGCCCGAAAGGGGCGGAAGAUCCAGGUUCAAGUCCUGGGUUUGGGA